UAAGUAAGUGUUUAAGGGCGCAUGGUGGAUGCCUUGGCAUCGAGAGCCGAUGAAGGACGUGGGAGGCUGCGAUAUGCCUCGGGGAGCUGUCAACCGAGCAUUGAUCCGAGGAUUUCCGAAUGGGGAAACCCAGCACGAGUGAUGUCGUGUUACCCGUAUCUGAAUAUAUAGGGUGCGGGAGGUAACGCGGGGAA
rnacentral:rRNA from 1 species